UACCGCGGCGUCGAGGACCCGAUGAUGACCCAGAGGAGGACCGGGGCCGAGGGCGUCCAAGGGGGCACCGGGACGCGUAGGGUGCGGGUCGCGGCCCACUAUACGAAACCCGGCGGGGCGACGGCGCGGCCGCGUCAGUCCCACAAUCGCCUCCACCUGGGACGCGACCGGGACCUGGCGCCACGCUUCCGCCACCUUUAGGUCAAAGGCUGACUCCUCCUGCCACACCCCUUACUCCUUCUGCCGCUCCGUCACCUGCUCUCCCUCUACUACUCCGCCUACGCCUAUAGCGUCCGCUUGUUCCCCUUAUGCGGCACCUUGUUCCCGUCCUUCGUGUCGGGUCUCUGCGAGGUCGCCUAAGCCCUCUCCUGUGCCGAACGAUACGUCUUGGGGUUCCAAUUCUUUUUCGACUACUUAGAGCCUGUACGAGUCUCACUUCUCUGGUUUUAAUUCUAUAGUAACCCUCACUCCGCACCCACCGCGAACGCAGAUGUCUUCGAUUACCAAGUCCUACCGACGAAACACGUCACCGCCCUUUACUAUCGUUUACGUCGAUCCUUCCCGAAACGACCACCUCAACGGAAGGUUACCUUAAGUGUAUUUUACAACUGACUCGUUGACGCCGUCCUUACCAACCUCUUUCAGGUCGUUUCUUCUAGUUACGGAUCCGGCUGUCCAUUAUCUUCUCGCGGUUUUUGGGGUCUCGUCUCCUCUUUUUAACGUCUUCGGUAACGACGCUUCACCAACCUAGCUCUUAUGGCACUUGCACAAACGUCACGUUAAUUAUCGAUAGUACCUUGUAGAAGACCUAGAUUUCAUGGCGCAUUUGUUUCUUGAGGCUCUCUUGGUCCACUCUUUGAUCUCUACUAUUGCUUCUAAUCUCGGGUUUCCUGUCGUGACCUUUAUCUCUUCUUUCUCCGAUAACUUUCUCGGUCCAGUGAGUAACAUCUUCGGCUCUUUCGACGUUUACGAGAACUCGGACAACGUCGCUUUUAAGGUAAACGAGUUCGUAGUGAAUAUCUUCGAUCUUUCGAACAAUGUCUCCGUUCUUACAGUGAGCUUCCACAACUACUAUUACUACCCGGUCGUCUUUCAAGAAGACUACUAUGGAGCCUACUGAGUCCACAGAGCCUUGACGUGUUCAACCUCUUGGUUUUACUGGAAUAAUUUGUUCUCUUGUUUAGACAUUUACCUUACUUCGAUGGAGGUUCCUGACAAUUACCGUACCUAAAGAUAAAACUACACAGACGUGAUCCACUUUUCCUUGUUGAGUCAUACAAAGUCUCCUAUCUCUUGAGGUACCUUUCUCGAAUAAACGAAGGAAGUCGAAAAAGUUGUCGAGUUCUACACUUGCCUUUAGAACCUUGUUUACUAGAUACAUAGUCACUCGUUCACCAGUUAUUGCUGGUCUAGCUGGCCUAACGUCGUCUAUGUUGUCUUAAAUAAAGUCGUCUCGGUGAUCUCUUACACAGGAGUGGACGAUUAUUCAGAUUCUACUCUACCCAUGCACCUUCUGAUCAACUUCCUCUUCUUAUU
rnacentral:rRNA from 1 species